rnacentral:rRNA from 1 species
AACGCGAAGAACCUUACCUGGGCUUGACAUCAGGGGAAAAGCCGCAGAGAUGCGGUGUCCGUAAGGGCCCCUGACAGGUGGUGCAUGGCUGUCGUCAGCUCGUGCCGUGAGGUGUUGGGUUAAGUCCCGCAACGAGCGCAACCCUUACUCGUAGUUGCUACCCGCAAGGGAGAACUCUACGAGGACUGCUCCGGAUAACGGAGAGGAAGGUGGGGAUGACGUCAAGUCAGCACGGCCUUUAUGUCCAGGGCUACACACGUGUUACAAUGCAUGGUACAGACUGUUGCGAACCCGCGAGGGGGAGCUAAUCGGACAAAACCAUGCUCAGUUCGGAUUGCAGUCUGCAACUCGGCUGCAUGAAGCUGGAAUCGCUAGUAAUGGCGUAUCAGAUCGACGCCGUGAAUACGUUCCCGGGCCUUGUACACACCGUAGUAC